rnacentral:tRNA from 1 species
GUUUUAAUAGUUUAAACAAAACGUUGGUCUUGUAAUCCAAUAAUGAAAAUUUUUCUUAAAACU